CAGGGGUGACCCUGCCCUUCACAGUCUUCUGCUGGAUGAAGUCAUAGAGUUAUUACCAAACUUGCAGAUGGAGGUAGGAGGAACAGAGGGUUUGUUGAUGGAUGGACUCAGGAUUUACAACUAUCUUUAUAGGUUCAGGCCUAUAAAGAGGCCUCAUCAACUGGAGAAGCUCUACUUACCAGCCGAGGCUACCACCACACAGAGUGUACUGCAGUUUCAGGCUUGGAGAGGAAGGGAGGAAGCCUAACCCUCGGGAGACCCCGUCAUGUUUUGAUGUCAUUGCAUGUCCCAUUUGGCCAGCCCGGAAAAAAUAAAAUGAGGAAGAAUGGCCCACAAACAACCUGGACAGAUAGAAGGCUGCUUUUAAAGAAGCUCACAGACACAGCUGAUUGAUUCUGCGACCUUGCUUUGUUACUCAUCUCUGAGUUUAGAGGCUUCACUGCCAGGGACCUUGUCCAGAGUUUCUGAGACCUCCAACAGCCUGUGGUCUCCUGGUCACUCAGACCCUACUGGUGGCUUCAGAUGCUGGAUCUUGCUGAUGUUUGAAUUAGCUCUCUGUGAAGGGCAUGCUGGUGAGGCCACAUACCAGGAAACCAUGACAAACAACAGAAUUACAGUCUGGUUAAAAAAGAAAAUAUACAUAUGCACAUAUGUAUAUUCCCCUACCCCAGGGGUUGAGACUUUUUUUGGCAUAAAUUUACAUAUAUUUUGGCACAAAUUUGCAUAGAGGUACACGAGAACCUCUCAUUUACAGCACUAAAAUUUGUAUUGUUCCCCUUAGACCCUUGUCACUGGCUGUUACUAAUGUACUGAGUUUCACCAGUUUGUCCUCCAUUUCCUAGAAUUUGUUCUAAUUUUUAGGAAAUGCUUACUAAAUAUCACCAUUGUGUGUGGUGAAAUCCAGCCCUAGAGGACAUCAAAAGGUCUCUUGUUAGCUGGUAGCUAUUGUUAGGUAUUAUCUGUAGAGACAUCGGGUUUCCUGGAAACAUCCCAUAGAGCUGUCCAAAAGUAUUAAUUAUUAAAUUGGGCCUUUAACUGUAUUUAUAGAAAUUAUAAUAUUACGUUUAUAUGUAUAGAAAAGAGAUUAUAUCUAAGCCUUAUAUCUGUAUAAAAAAAGGAUUUUACCAAAAGUACUGGAAGGUGCAUUAUAGUUACUCUCAAAUGUAAUAUUAGGGAUUUAUAUUUACAUAUAUUUGAGACAGGGUCUCACUCUGCCCAGGCUGGAGUGCAGUGGUGUGAUCUCUCGCCUCACUGCAGCCUCCACCUCCUGGGCUCAGGUGAUCCUCCCACCUCAGCCUCCCAAGUAGCUGGGAUUACAGGCACACUCCACCAUGCCUGGCUAAUUUUUUAUAUUUUUUGUAGAGACAGGGUUUUGCCAUGUUGCCCAGGCUGAUCUCAAACACGUCGGCUCAAGUGAUCCUUCCACCUAGGCCUCUCAAAGUGCUAGGAGUACAAGCAUGAGCCACCAUGCCCAGCCAAUAUUAGAUAUUAAUCAUUGUUCAAGAACAAUGUUAUCAAACCUACCUGUGAGCUGGGGCAAGUUGUGUCACUCCCCUGGAGCCUCAGUUUCUUCCUCUGGAAACUGAGGGAAACUACACCAAAUCUGAGUGUUUCCCUAAUCUCAGGCAGCUGACGUCCCCUUUAGAAUUUUUGCCAUCUUCUCAUGUCAUUUAUACUAUUUCUUCAUAUUUUUCUGGAAUUUAAUAACUUUUCAACUUAAACUGGCAUGAUCUACCUUAGCCUAGUCCCAAGCAAAAAUCUCUGUGAAACUACGUGUUCGCUGUACUCUUUUUUCUUGCAUAUUAAAAUAAAUGCAUGACUCUUAAAAUGUUUUUAAGGUGCUCGUUUGUAUUCACUUGAAAUUUUCUCAGGUCCUGCUGCACUUUGAGAAUGUGAUACAAAAAGCUUCAGUGGUGUGCACGAGGAGCUUGGUAUAAGGCCCAGCCCUAGCAGUCAUAAAUGGUAGCUGAGGCAGAAACAGCUAGGUUCCUACCUCAACAUUCUCCUUUCAAUACAGUAACGUGCUGACUUUCAGUUGGGCACACAACCGAAACCAUUUCCCAGGAUUCUUCGCAGCUAGAUAGAACCAUGUAACUUUAUAAUAUAAAUGUAAACAUAAUAUUUUGGACUAUGCUUGGACUAAACAAAACAUUUAGUAAAGCUGGGCAUGGUGGGGUGUGCCUGUAGUCCCAGAUACUCUGGAGGUUGACAGGGCAGGAGGAUCGCUUGAACCCAGGAGUUUGAGGCUGCAGUGAGCUAUGAUCUAUGAUCACGCCACUGCUCUCCAGCCUAAACAACGUAGUGGGACCUUGUCUCUAAAAAAAGAAAAUACAUUUAAAAAUAUAUUUGGUGAGGUUUCUGAGUAUCCCCCUUACGAAAGAGAAGGCAUGUACUUCUGCAACUUCCUCCAUUCUGCUUACUCAAACUUGAAUGGGAGGGCAGCUAUUUCAAACCAUAAAGAUGAGGGCUGUCCCCUAGGGAUGGUAGAACUAAGAGCCAGAAAAGACUAAGUUCUCGAUAAUCAUUUGGAACUGCAAUAGUGGUCCUGGACUACCUAUCUCUAGACUUCUUUUACAUAGGGAGAAAUAUACUUCUCUGUGAAGCCACAACCUUUUAGGAUUUUCUGUCACUUGCAGGUGAAUAUAAAUCUGUUGGAUACAAUAUUGUGUGCAUGGUAGGUGGGCCGUCAGUGGUGAGCCGGGGCUGCCAUUCAGGUAAGAACUGACUGUUAAAUUUUCAUGAAUUUUGCAUGCUGGUGAAUGUCACGUUGGUAGCCUGAAAUUGGCCAUGGUGGGAGUAUUUACACCACAGGAAUUGGCAAAUGCUACAUACACAUCAGGGCUUUAUUUCCUCCAAGAGAUCUGGUUAUUGACUACUUACCAUCUACCACCACAUCACUGUGGGAUUAAGGAUUUUAUCCACUAAAGUUUGUUCAUAUAGAGAGGUGAUCUGACCUCUUCAUUUACCCUCAAUUUGUUCAAAUUCUAAGUCAUGGACUAUAUCGGACCUAGACUUCCAUAUUGUCUAAUUCUGAUCUUGAAUGGAGGAAGCUUGAAUGUUGCUUAUAGGUCUGCUGUGGUCAGUGCUCAAGAGGUCAAUAGUAAAAGAGCCUGCUCAUCCCUCGCUGUGGGGAUAAUGAUUAGAAGGGAUGGGAAAUUAGCAUUCUGACUUUGCCAUCGGGUGUGAGAAGCACUGAAGCUCACAUACAAAUAAUUAACUUGCCAACCAGUUUUUCUUUUUCCUUUUAAAAGGUGGAAGCAGAUAAGUUGGGAAUAGAUACGCCCACAUUCAGAAUUUACUGCUACAGCACAAUUAAUUAUAUUUAAACAACAUAUGCUGCAUAUUGAUUAAGCACAAAUGUAAACCCUUCAUAUAAAUUAAGCUAAUGAAUUUAACUUUUCCAUAGUCAGAUCUUAUCUUUAGUGAUUCUUUUUCAUAUAUUUCUAUAGGUAUAAAGUUGUCAGGUAUAAUCACUGUCAAAUGGUUAACCAUUUGCUUUGAUAUCCUUUCUGUUCAGUUAGUGUUCAUGCGUGGUUUCACCUCAACCCAGGGAGACAGUCUCACACUUUAGGGGAUGGAUUAGUGUACCUUCAUGGGACAGCAGAGGCUUUUGCAUAGACGAGUUCUGUUGAAACUCUGGUUUCUCUAUGCUUACAGCUGCCUAACCUUACAGUAACUUAUUUAACUACUGUAUCAGUUAUCCAUUGCUGCAUAACAAAUGAUCUCAAAACUUAGUGACUUCAAACAACAAUUUAUUAUUUCUCAUGAUUCUGGGGCUUGACUGACUGAUUUUUCUGCUGGUCUUGCCUGGGCUCACCCAGGUCCCUGCAUUCAGCUAGUGUCUGGGAUGGAACUGUUAACCACAGAGUCUUGGUUUCUUCCCACGUGCCUUUUCUUUUCUUUUCUCUUUUUUUAGAGGGAGUCUCGUUCUGUCGCCC
rnacentral:lncRNA from 10 species